rnacentral:rRNA from 1 species
UACGUAGGGGGCGAGCGUUGUCCGGAUUUAUUGGGCGUAAAGAGCUCGUAGGCGGUUUGGUAAGUCGGGUGUGAAAUCUCCACGCUCAACGUGGAGGGGCCACUCGAUACUGCCAUGACUCGAGUCCGGUAGAGGAGUGUGGAAUUCCCGGUGUAGCGGUGAAAUGCGCAGAUAUCGGGAGGAACACCCGUAGCGAAGGCGGCACUCUGGGCCUUACCUGACACUGAGGAGCGAAAGCGUGGGGAGCGAACAGG